CGUAUAGACCUCCUCCCCCUGUGCUUCGGUCAGCACUGAUGUGUAAAACCCAAACAAAAUAUUUGCCCAACAUCGAGGAUUUGGCACUUGGAGAACACACAAAACACACGAACGAAGUAUUGCUGUACGGUUUGGCGCAAAGAGAGGCUGGACGCAACGAAGGAGAACAAGGCAGUUCUGAGAGAAGAAGAGAAUUGGGAGUCCAACACUCCUUGAAAAAUUCAUCAUCCCCUACCGAUGUAAAGUUCGCAGAGAAACUGUGAGCUUUGAGAGCUGGUAGAAGAAAGAAAAGUAUGAAAAUAUGUUGACUACACGUACAUAAAAAUUAUGAAGAAUUGAAUACUGGAAAUGCGUCUGGUGGGGAGCAAGGGAAAUCGAUGGCUUUGUGUGGCUAGCUUAACUGAACCAACAAGCACAUUGUUCGUGGGCUUUGAUUUAGAGAUUUUUAAUCCCUCGUAGAAAAGGCGAUUAAAUAUUGACAGCGUUAUUGAUUACUAGUAUUGGUACGAAGGGUAGCGUAGUACAGCCAGAAAUGGAGAAUACGAGGCAGUAGAACUAGGAUUUCAUCAGCUCAUGCCGUUUCUUUUAAGAUGGAUUGAUCGAUAUUACUUUGUUUAUAAUUUUUUUUACAAGAAAGGGCCUGUAAACCGGAAAGAAAUUCUUGUAAUAACAAACUAUGGCCUCUUGAGAAGGCCAAGUGUGCUCUUCACGCGGUCAGGACUCGCCUGAUGGAAAAUUAAAUGCAAAACAUUGCGAGUGAGAAAAA